CAUAGCGGAGGAAAAGAAACUAACAAGGAUUCCCCUAGUAACUGCGAGUGAAGCGGGAAAAGCUCAAAUUUAAAAUCUGGUAGUUUCACUGCCCGAGUUGUAAACUAGAGAAGCGUUAUCCGCGCUGGACCGUGUAUAAGUCUCCUGGAAUGGAGCGUCAUAGAGGGUGAGAAUCCCGUCUUUGACACGGACUACCAGGGCUUUGUGAUGCGCUCUCAAAGAGUCGAGUUGUUUGGGAAUGCAGCUCUAAAUGGGUGGUAAAUUCCAUCUAAAGCUAAAUAUUGGCGAGAGACCGAUAGCGAACAAGUACCGUGAGGGAAAGAUGAAAAGAACUUUGGAAAGAGAGUUAAACAGUACGUGAAAUUGUUGAAAGGGAAACGCUUGAAGUCAGUCGCGUCGGCUAGGAAUCAGCCUUGCUUUUGCUUGGUGUACUUUCUAGUCGACGGGUCAGCAUCAGUUUUGAUCGGUGGAAAAAGGCCAGCGGAAUGUGGCACCUUCGGGUGUGUUAUAGCUGCUGGUUGUAUACAUCGGUUGGGACUGAGGAACUAGCACUCUGUGUUUUAGAUGCUGGCAUAAUGGCUUUAAUCGACCCGUCUUGAAACACGGACCAAGGAGUCUAACAUGCCUGCGAGUGUUUGGGUGGAAAACCCGAGCGCGUAAUGAAAGUGAAAGUUGAGAUCCCUGUCGUGGGGAGCAUCGACGCCCGGACCAGACCUUUUGUGACGGAUCCGCGGUAGAGCAUGUAUGUUGGGACCCGAAAGAUGGUGAACUAUGCCUGAAUAGGGUGAAGCCAGAGGAAACUCUGGUGGAGGCUCGUAGCGAUUCUGACGUGCAAAUCGAUCGUCAAAUUUGGGUAUAGGGGCG
rnacentral:rRNA from 1 species